AGAAGGGAGAACUGCAGACGCAAGGAUUCAAGACAGAAAAGAAAAUCUGCAGCAAUUCGGCUUCCCCAUGGCUGAAUUUAUUUAUUUUGUUGCUCCCAAUUCAAGUAUGUCUAGCUAAUUUUCUUAUACUGAGGUUAAGGAUGAAACCCUAUUCAAUGAAAUAAUUAUAUCUUUUUAUUUAAUUAAUUCCCUAUAUAUGUUCUUUGAUAAUUAUGGUUUUUAUUUCACAUGAUUAAUUGGAUGUUAAUAAAAUCUUUUCAUCAAUUCUGUCAUGCAUUAUUGAUUGUUAGGAUUAAUAUUCGAUUAAUUCUAUGCUUGGAUCUAUAAAGUUUAUACAUGAUUAUCUUUGAUUUUAUGUCUUUCAUUAAAUUGUUUACAUGGAGUGCUUAGGAAAACUUUGACUCUUUGUUAUUCAAUAUGUUUACAUGAGAUUCUUAGAUGUCAUACUAUUAAGCAGAAAAAAGAACCUACAUUAGAUUUAAUUACUUGGGCUUAAUUGUUAUAUCCAUGAGAUGACAUAGAUUGAUUUCGAGUUGUCACUCUAAAAUUGGGGGUUAAUUAAUAAUUAGAUAAUUACUAGUUGAAUAGUGGUGGAUUCUGAAACCUUGGUAAUUUUUAUCUCAUUGAAUUCUCAUUUACUUUAAUUGUUUUCUUAGUUUAAUUGGUUUAAUUUUCUUAAAAACUCAAUUUGCUCAACUAGGUUAGAAUUAAUAUUAAUUUUAGAUUUAAAUUAGACUUUUCAAUUUAUAACAAUCCCUGUGGGAUCGAUCUCGUUACCACUAUUCUAUUUCUAGAUUCG
rnacentral:lncRNA from 1 species